AUGGAGAAACGUGAUGAUGAGUUGCUGUUAGUUUGCUUUUGUGACGACAGGGAUAUUGCUGCCCACAUAAACCCUGAUGUCCUGAAAACAUGUUUACAUGUUGGAGACAGCUGGGCCAAAUGGACAGUUCCCUACCGGCCUGAGGACUUCCCUGAGAUGGAGAUCUUGUGGCAGCUGACCUGCGCCUGGAACACAGGCAUCCUGCUUUACAGCCUGGCCGAGUACCCUGAGGGGUGGUGUGGCCUGGGCAUGAGCUUCCUCCGCCACCUGGGCUCCCUGCAGGAGAGCUACCAGACACAGGUGUCAGAUCUGUACACAGGUCCUGGAUAGUCUGGACAAAGCCAAGAAGAACCUCAUCAUGGAGGAGUGAUUUGAGCUGGUAGAGCUUUGCAGAGCUCUUUUACUGUCUGGUACCUGAUAUUAUUAAUGUGGUAGCUGGGAUGGUAGUUUACUGUAUGAUGUCUCACUGGUUCUUGUAUGACUGACUGGUCUCCAGUUUAGUCAGCUCCUCCAGGAUGUCAGUUGCAUCCUGCCCUCCCCCAAUAUUUCCCUAUGGAGAGUUCAGAUAACUGUUUCUAGUUAAUGUUUUGGUACUUCUGUACAUGAAUGGACUUUAUUUUAUGCCUCUCGCAUGUAAAAUUCAUAUGAAUGUAAUAUAUGUAAAAUUGUAUUUGUCUUAUUUAAACAAAUCAUCUUAAACUGCCAAUACCAGUGGACUCAAAUAAAACAUCAAAAUCAUAACCGAGUCACAUAUUUUAUUAUUUUCAAACAAAUAAACUCUUGUCCAGUCCAAAACAAAACCCCAAACAAAAUAGGCUGCAGGACUGUUCCCUCAUGACUAGGACAGGGAAGACCGUUCGGCCCAGCGUCCUGAUAGGCUCUACCACCUGUGGUGUGACAGGAAGGAAACUACUGUACAAUCAAAGGGUUCGCAAGCACUUACUGCACAGGUGUGCUGUCAAACAACUCAUCACCCAAAAGGACAAACCAUAACCUGACCGACCCCACCCCCCCAGAGCUCAUGUCUCUCUCACUGGAACAAAGACCCUCAUCAAUUAUACAAACACAGAGGCAUUUCGGUUCAAUCUUGUUCUACCGCAACCGCAAUAGAAAUAAUACAAUUAAAUCUAGUUCUUUGGGCUUUAUUGACAUGGCUGACCGAGAGGUAUAAAUACCAGACGUUAACAGUCUGGUGUUUAGUUGAAACACAGCUGAGGAGCAGUUCUAAAACUUCUAAAUGAGAUAAUGAUCAAUGCACCUCAUGGUUUCUGGAAUAUCACCUUGUAGGUUGCUGCCUGGGUCUCAUCUUCAUUUUUUACAUAAUUGUUUUAAUCUAUACACCCAGACACCAUUUUCCACAAGAAAUAACAUGUAGACAGGCCCUACUUGAGGGAAUUACAUUCCCAACUGACAAACAUUUUUCCAAUAGGCAGCUGAAGAUUUGUCUAUAGAGAAAUACCAACAUUACAGCACAUUUGUAUGGAAAUUAUAUCUCAGAAUAGCUCAGUUUACUUACCUGACAUUUGUGAUCUAUAAAACAUGUUUUGCCCCAGUUUGUUUCACACAUGCAUGAAGCACAGGUGAGGGGGAUCUGCUGGGGGCAUAUUUACAUUUGACAGCUACCACACCCUUUGAAACAGUCUGUAUGCAGUUUAUAAAUGGCUCUGUUCCCUUCGGUUAUUCCCUGAACUCUGGUUUUGACACAGGUAAUGACAGCUGGUUUAGCAGUGGCGCCUGGCAGGUGGGCACACCUGUUCAGAAAAUGCCUUCAGGUACAGGUGCUUUAGGGGGAAGUAGGGGACCCAGAGCGCUAGGUGACAACUUCCUGUGGGCAUAUAGAAGAUGGUCUGGCUCUCAGGCAUCUGAGAAAACUCUUUCCCCUCUACCAAAAAAAGGUGGAAAAUCAAAAAUGUUCACAGGGUAGGGGGCCACAGCAUUCCUUAUUCUUCAACAAGUCCCCUCACAUGUACACAAACACAGUGCCAAGAUCCGCAAAGGGAGAUGGGGCAGGUCAUUUCAAUCCUGUUGAAUCCAUACAGCCAACUCAGGCAAGGGUUUACCACAGAAGUGGUCUUCACAAAGCUUCACCGCAUCAUAAGAUAGACAUAUUACAUUCGCUUAUUAAAUGCAAAUGCCUUUAAAAAUCGCUCAGAUCGUUCAGUCAAUUACUCUCAUUCACAUUUAACAGCUUUGAACUCUCCAUGUCUCCUUUCAAACAUGGUGUUUCAGUCACAGGGGAAAUUAAAUCUGUGUGUUAGAUUCCUGAGCUGACCUAGCUCGCCCCAGACAUGCCAUUGGGUUCAUAACACAGUGGUUCAACACAUGCCCAGAACUAAUUCAAAAAUGAUUUAAAAACUUUAGAUACACAGCGCAUAUACAGUGUAUUCGGAAAGUAUUCAGACCCCUUGACUUUUUCUACAUUUUGUUAAGUCACAGCCUUAUUCUAAAAUUGAUUAAAUACUUAAAUCUACACACAAUAACCCCAUAAUGACAAAGCAAAAGUUGUUUUAAUGUUAGCAAAUGUAUAAAAAAUAAAACUGAAAUAUCACAUUUACAUAAGUAUUCAGAACCUUUACUCAGUACUUUGUUGAAGCACCUUUGGCAGCGAUUACAGCCUCGAUUCGUCUUGGGUAUGACGCUACAAGCUUGGCACUCCGUAUUUGGGGAGUUUCUCCCAUUCUUCUCUGCAGAUCCUCUCAAGCUCUGUCAGGUUGGAUGGGAAGCGUCACUGCACAGCUAUUUUUAGGUCUUGCCAGAGAUGUUCGAUCGGGUUCAAGUCCGGGCUCUGGCCGGGCCAUUCAGAGACUUGUCCCGAAGCCACUUCUGCAUUGUCUUGGCUGUGUGCUUAGGGUCGUUGUCCAGUUGGAAGGUGAACCUUCGCCCCAGUCUGAGGUCCUGAGUGCUCUGGAGCAGGUUUUCAUCAAGGAUCUCUCUGUACUCUGCUCCAUUCAUCUUUCCCUCGAUCCUGACUAGUCUCCCAGUCCCUACCGCUGAAAAACAUCCCAAAAGCAUGAUGCUGCCACCACCAUGCUUCACCGUAGAGAUGGUGCCAGGUUUCCUUUAGAUGUGAUGCUUGGCAUUCAAGCCAAAUAAUUCAAUCUUGGUUUCAUCAGACCAGAGAAUCUUGUUUCUCAGUCAGUCUUUAGGUGUCUUUUGGAAAACUCCAAGUGGGCUGUCAUGUGCCUUUUACUGAGGAGUGGCUUCCGUCUGGCCACUCUACCAUAAAGGCCUGGUUAGUGGAGUGCUACAGAGAUGGUUGUCCUUCUGGAAGGUUCUUCCAUCUCCACAGAGGAACUCUGGAGCUCUGUCAGAGUGACCAUUGGGUCCUUGGUCACCUCCCUGACCUUAAAUCUACACACAAUAAUGAGGCACAGAUCUGGGGAAGGGUACCAAAACAUUUCUGCAGCAUUGAAGGUCCCCAAGAACACAGUGGCCUCCAUUCAUAAAUGGAAUUAAUAAUAAUUGGAACCAACAAGACGCUUCUCCCACGAUUGCUCAGUUUGGCCGGGCGGCCAGCUCUAGGAAGAGUCUUGUUGGUUCUAAACUUCUUCCAUUUAUGAAUGGAGGCCACUGUGUUCUUGUGGACCUUCAAUGCUGCAGAAAUGUUUUGGUACCCUUCCCCAGAUCUGUGCCUCGACACAAUCCUGUCUCUGAGCUCUACAGACAAUUCUUUCAACCUCAUGGCUUGGUUUUUGCGCUGACAUGCACUGUCAACUGUGGGACCUUAUGUAUGUACGUAUAUACACACACAUAUAUAUAUAUAUAUACAUACACACACACAUAUACACAGGUUUGUGCCUUUCCAAAUCACGUCCAAUCAAUUGAAUUUACCACAGGUGGAUUCUAAUCAAGUUGUAGAAACAUCAAGGAUGAUCAAUGGAAACAGGAUGCACCUGAGCUCAAUUUCAAGUCUCAUAGCAAAGGGUCUGAAUACUUAUGUAAGUAAGGCAUUUCUGUUUCUUAUUUCUAAUACAUUUGCACAACUUUCUAAAAACCUGUUUUCGCUUUGUCAUUAUGGGAUAUUGUGUGUUGAGAAAAAAAAAGUAUUUAAUCCAUUUUAGAAUAAGGCUGUAAUGUAACAAAAUGUGAAAGAAGUCUGAAUACUUUCCGAAUGCAAUGUAGGUUUUAAUCAAAACCCCUCUUUAGUGUUAUUUUGGGUGGGGGGGGAAAGAGGACAAUCCAAAAGCAGGUUAAAUUGCCUCUUUGUUAGGACAUCCAAUACAAGUAUUGUCUUGUUCUACCCGUUUAAGGCCACCUUCAUGAUGGCAUAUUCAGGACAGUACCAUGUGACCAUUCAAUCAGAAGAGACACUCCUCUUGGAAGGUAGAGAGUGUAAUAGGGUGAUCUGCUGCUCAACGUGGGUCAGGGAGCUAUGGCUGCCUAAAUUGGAAUCCAAUCAAUUCUUAAAUUACAACAGGAAAAAGGGUCAAAAGAAUACAGGGGGAAGAUAGAAAUCCACAGAAGUGCGAUGCAUUCGUCUAUUGCACUCACAAGUUAGGCCUCCUGGAAGUCAGGAGACAACGCAGAAAAAGUGAACAUUUAAAAUAAAAAGUUCGAUCUGUUUUUUUCAUUGUCAAUUAUUUAUAGCUUCCCUCAAAGUACAGGUAGUAAUAUAACAAUUUGUAUUUGAUGUAAGGCAGUUUGGUGUUUUGCAGAGAGCCCUGUUACACUUCUCUACCCCCAUCCUUUACACAGAGCAGCUAAAAACCACAAGCCAAAAAAAUCCCCCCUCCAAAAAAAAAUAUCUAACAGCCCUCCAAGUAGACAAUUCUAGUGAAGUGUAAAACGUGUAGUUUUUAAUAUGUAGUAAAAUCGC
ensembl:lncRNA